rnacentral:tRNA from 1 species
GCCAGGAACUGAAGACCACUUGGCAAGGAAAAGGUCCCCGGUUCGAAUCCGGGCGUGGGCUCCA